GAUGAACGCUAGCUACAGGCUUAACACAUGCAAGUCGCGGGGCAGCAUGGGGGUUGCUUGCAAUCCCCGAUGGCGACCGGCGCACGGGUGCGUAACGCGUAUCCAACCUGCCCUUCACCACGGGAUAACCCGGCGAAAGUCGGACUAAUACCGUAUGUUGUCCAUUGACGGCAUCCGCUUUGGACGAAAGGUUUGGCGGGGAAGGAUGGGGAUGCGUCCGAUUAGCUGGACGGCGGGGUGACGGCCCACCGUGGCGACGAUCGGUAGGGGUGCUGAGAGGAAGGUCCCCCAUCCUGGAACUGAGACACGGUCCAGACUCCUACGGGAGGCAGCAGUGAGGAAUAUUGGUCAAUGGGCGUAAGCCUGAACCAGCCAAGUAGCGUGCAGGAUGACGGCCCUAUGGGUUGUAAACUGCUUUUAUGCGGGGAUAAAGUGGCCCCCGUGUGGGUUUUUGCAGGUACCGCAUGAAUAAGGACCGGCUAAUUCCGUG
rnacentral:rRNA from 1 species